CUGCAGCCAUUUUAGCACACAUGGGGCCUGGUGUGCAGUGGCUGCAGACAGCAGCCUCCUUGAUGUGGUGUACCCAGCCUGUUGCUUUGUAUGGGUUGCCCUAAGAGACUUUGGUGACGGCC
rnacentral:snoRNA from 1 species